rnacentral:rRNA from 1 species
AAACUACAAAGGAAUUGACGGGACCGCACAAGCGGUGGAUGAUGUGGUAUUAAUUCGAUGCAACGCGAAAACCUUACCUACCCUUGACAUGUCCGGAAUCCCGAAGAGAUUUGGGAGUGCUCGCAAGAGAACCGGAACACAGGUGCUGCAUGGCUGUCGUCAGCUCGUGUCGUGAGAUGUUGGGUUAAGUCCCGCAACGAGCGCAACCCUUGUCAUUAGUUGCCAUCAUUUGGUUGGGCACUCUAAUGAGACUGCCGGUGACAAACCGGAGGAAGGUGGGGAUGACGUCAAGUCCUCAUGGCCCUUAUGGGUAGGGCUUCACACGUCAUACAAUGGUCGGUACAGAGGGUUGCCAACCCGCGAGGGGGAGCUAAUCCCACAAAGCCAGUCGUAGUCCGGAUCGUAGUCUGCAACUCGACUACGUGAAGUCGGAAUCGCUAGUAAUCGUGGAUCAGAAUGUCACGGUGAAUACGUUCCCGGGUCUU